rnacentral:tRNA from 2 species
UGAGUCGUAGACUAAUUGGCAAGUCACCUAGAUUUGAGCUAGGAGUAUAUAUGUUCAAAUCAUAUCGACUCAG